CAAGGGUCAGGGGGUGCAGGAGAGGAUGUAUUCGCCAGCUGCAUGCGGGAAAACUUAAAAGAGAAAGCUAAGGGCGGGGGUCUUUCACAUCCAGGGAAUUGAUCUCAGGUCAUCAGACUUUGUGAUUUCCAGGAGAUAUGCAAUCAAGAGCAAGGGAGGAAUCACCCGGCAGCCUAAUACAACACCAGGAACACUCCAUCUGGGAAGCGUAACUGGUGGCUUUACCAGAAGCGGCUGAACACCUGUAGGAGUCUCAGACUGCAAAUCAGCUUGUCUGCUUGUAGACGGCGGCUGCCUGGAGCUGGCCUUACCACCAUCAGUGCGACCGCACCUGCGCCCCACCCUCCCAGGACCGGUGGAAAACAACCAAGUAGGACUGAGGAAGAGACCAAGGACCGCAACACGGGCGUGGCCUACAGCAUCCGCCUCCAAGUACA
rnacentral:lncRNA from 1 species